rnacentral:misc_RNA from 1 species
AGUUUGAUCAUGGCUCAGAUUGAACGCUGGCGGGAUGCUUUACAUGCAAGUCGAACGGCAGCACGGACUUCGGUCUGGUGGCGAGUGGCGAACGGGUGAGUAAUGUAUCCGGAACGUGCCUAGUAGCGGGGGAUAACUACGCGAAAGCGUAGCUAUUACGCAUACGCCCUUCGGGGGAAAGCGGGGGACCUUCGGGCCUCGCACUAUUAGAGCGGCCGAUAUCGGAUUGGCCUAGUUGGUGGGGUAACGGCUCGCCAAGGCGACGAUCCGUAGCUGGUUUGAGAGGACGACCAGCCACACUGGGACUGAGACGGCAGACUCCUACGGGGAGGCAGCGGUGGGGAAUUUUGGACAAUGGGGAAACCCUGAUCCAGCCAUCCCGCGUGUGCGAUGAAGGCCUUCGGGUUGUAAAGCACUUUUUGGCAGGAAAGAAACGGCACGGAUAAUACCCCGAUGCAACUGACGGCUACCUGCAGAAUAAGCACCGGCUAACUACGUGCCAGCAGCCGCGGUAAUACGUAGGGUGCAAGCGUUAAUCGGAAUUACUGGGCGUAAAGCGUGCGCAGGCGGUUCGGAAAGAAAGAUGUGAAAUCCCAGAGCUUAACUUUGGAACUGCAUUUUUAACUACCGAGCUAGAGUGUGUCAGAGGAGGUGGAAUUCCGCGUGUAGCAGUGAAAUGCGUAGAUAUGCGGAGGAACACCGAUGGCGAAGGCAGCCUCCUGGGAUAACACUGACGCUCAUGCACGAAAGCGUGGGAGCAAACAGGAUUAGAUACCCUGGUAGUCCACGCCUAAACGAUGUCAACUGGCUAUUUGGGGCCUUCGGGCCUUGGUAGCGCAGCUAACGCGUGAAGUUGACCGCCUGGGAGAAUACGGUCGCAAGAUUAAAACUCCAAAGGAAUUGACGGGGACCCGCACAAGCGGUGGAUGAUGUGGAUUAAUUCGAUGCAACGCGAAAAACCUUACCUACCCUUGACAUGUCUGGAAUCCCGAAGAGAUUUGGGAGUGCUCGCAAGAGAACCGGAACACAGGUGCUGCAUGGCUGUCGUCAGCUCGUGUCGUGAGAUGUUGGGUUAAGUCCCGCAACGAGCGCAACCCUUGUCGUGUAGUUGCUACGAAGGGCACUCUAAUGAGACUGCCGGUGACAAACCGGAGGAAGGUGGGGAUGACGUCAAGUCCUCAUGGCCCUUAUGGGUAGGGCUUCACACAUCAUACAAUGGUCGAAACGGGGGUCGCCAACCCGCGAGGGGGGCCAAUCCCAGAAACUGAUCGUAGUCCGGAUCGCAGUCUGCAACUCGACGUGCGUGAAGUCAGUCGCUGGCUAAUCGCGGAUCAGCAUGUCGCGGCCAGAUACGUUCCGGGUCUUGUACACACCGCCCGUCACACCAUGGGAGUGGGUUUUACCGAAGUAGUUAGCCUAACCGUAAGGAGGCGAUUACCACGGUAGGAUUCAUGACUGGGGUGACGGGCGGUGAUAUGCAAGACCCGGGAACAUGUUCACCGCGAACAUCGGUAUAGCGAUUCGGCAGUCAGUUGAUCCGUUGUUUCUGGGAUUAACCCCUCGCAGGUUAUUUCUGUCGACCGUUAUUAUUUAUGUGAAGCCCUACCACGCCAAAAAAAACCGUGGCAUCCCGCCUUCCUCCGGUUCGUCACCGACGCUUUCGUAACUGGCGGGAUAACAACAUCUCGCAUUUUGAGCGACGACCAUCUACCGAUUCCGCGGCACUUUAAAUACUUCGGGAUUCAGACAUGUCGAAAAAAGUAAAGGUAGGUUUUCGCGUUGCAGAUGUCGAACCAAUCCACCGCUUUGUGCGAAAGGUCCGUCCAGUCGCUUGAGGUUUUGUCUUUACUCCCAGGCUUCGCGCCAGCCUGCGCUACCAAGGCCCGAAAACUGGCAACUAGUUGACGUCGUUCAGGGCUAAUCUCAAUCUGUUUGCUCCCUCCGCGCACUCGUCAGCGAGCGUCGGUGUUAUCCAUCGGUGUUCCUCGCAUCUGCGCGUUUCGCGCUACACGCCUAGUUCCCGCACACUCCC